rnacentral:rRNA from 1 species
GACGAACGCUGGCGGCGGGCUUAACACAUGCAAGUCGAACGGAAAGGCCCUGCUUUUGUGGGGUGCUCGAGUGGCGAACGGGUGAGUAACACGUGAGUAACCUGCCCUUGGCUUUGGGAUAACUUCAGGAAACUGGGGCUAAUACCGGAUAGGAGCUCCUGCUGCAUGGUGGGGGUUGGAAAGUUUCGGCGGGUGGGGAUGGACUCGCGGCUUAUCAGCUUGUUGGUGGGGGAGUGGCUUACCAAGGGUUUGACGGGUAGCCGGCCUGAGAGGGUGACCGGCGACAUUGGGACUGAGAUACGGACCAGACUCCUACGGGAGGCAGCAGUGGGGAAUAUUGCACAAUGGGCGGAAGCCUGAUGCAGCAACGCCGCGUGCGGGAUGAAGGCCUUCGGGUGGUAAACCGCUUUCGCCUGUGACGAAGCGUGAGUGACGGUAAUGGGUAAAGAAGCACCGGCUAACUACGUG